CUCCGGCGGCCGCGCGGUUGUCCUCCGUAGCCUGACGCGAGGAGCCCGGCAGGGGGCAGCAGGAGACCGCGGUGGUCGCCGGAGCCGAGCGGAAUCAUUAAACUUCAGACUUAAGAAGAGCUUUGGAAUUAUGGAGCUUCAAUUCUCCUUCUACAGAUGAGACACUGAAACCCUUAGAGUAGGAGCCAGCAAGAGAAUGCAUGUUUUAUACCUCCUUGACAAGUAGUCUACUGUGAUUUACACAGCAUAUCCCUGCUAUCGCAGAGAAGGCGCUGGAUCCUUGACCCACUGGGCCACAGCAGGAACUCCUAUCAAAGGCCGGGGAUCAGAUCCAAACUGAAGUCUUGACCUAAACCGCUGCUAUGACAAUGCCAGAUCUUGAACUAACUGAGCCAGGCCAUGGAUCAAACCCACGUUCCAGUGCUCCCAAGAGGCCACCAAUCUCAAUGCACCCGUUGCACCAAAGGGAGAGCUCCAGUGCUGCUGAAUUUUAAAUGACUGCUGACCUUGGCUAGACAUUGGGAGAGGGAGAUGAGUGUUAUUUGUCAAAGAAUCACUGGGGAGAUAAUUUAGGGCUGCCUGUAAGCAAAAUAACAAAGAAUGGGCAGCCUCGCUUUACUGCCAUCCAGCCUGCCUCACUGCACUGCUAACUCUUGUAACUGCUAAGUAGCUGGUAUCCUCCUGCUUCUCCCUUGGUCCCUCAAAUCCCACUUUGAUACUAAGCAAUUAUUGCCUACUCCAAAGUAGAACUUCCCUCUUCACCCUUACACAUGAGCUGGACACUUAACUUUUUCACCUCUGUAACCUGCUGUUUGUUCUCAAUCCUAACUGCAUGUUAGCAUCAUCUAGGGAGCUUUUUAAAGGUACUGAAGCCCAGCUCUCCACCCCUAGAGAUUCUGAUUUAAUUGGUUUGACAUGGAGCCGAGACAUUGACCUGGCUUUCGGGUUUGGGUUUGGUUUGGAUGGUUUGGUUUGGUUUUAAAUCCUCAGUGGAUGAUUCUAAUGUAUAGCCAGAAUUGAGAAUUACUGUAACUAUGGAACUGGAGCUGCUUAAUUUUCACCUGCUGGUUAAAGCCUCACUCUGGAUUCUGGGACCAGUUCUGUUCCUAGCGGAGCCUCAGGCUAACAGCAGCUCAGCAGCUCAGCUUAAUCCCACUGUGGCCUAGACUCCCAGUUCCAUUAAUUAUAGGCUGUUGUUUUCUUGUGGUUAAUCCCUUGCCCCAAAGGAACGUGGGGAAUAAAAGAAGGGGAAACAGUUGCUGGGCAGGCAAAACAUCAGGUGUUUAAUGCCUUCCCACUGCCUUCUGCCCCCCAUCUCCUGCUCAAACCAUUGUAACAAGUUGUCCUGAAUAAAGUGUCACUUGUGACAGGUAUGGACAGGAAAUUUUCUGAUCCAUCAUCACUCAGCCAUGCCUAUGUCAAACUGCCAGAUCUUCUCUAUUUCACUACUUACACCUCUGUUAGGGAUACUUUUUAAUAAUCUCUUUCCCAGAAACAUCUUUAAUCUUUCCUUUCUUCUCCUCCUCUUGUAACUUGAACCUGGUUAAUUCUAGAAUCUUCUCUUCUCCUUCGAUUCAUUUUUAUCUCCCCAACCAUGACUAUGAUCAUGCCUAAGCAUAAGACUAGUAUCAGUGUAUUUAAACCUGAAAAAAAAUAGAAGUGACAUGUUUUUAAGUGAAAUUUUAGUGUAAAAAAGGAAGAACAACCUCUACAGUUUAUAAAAGUGCUAAUAAAAGCUCCUGGGAGUUCCCGUCGUGGCGCAGUGGUUAA